AGAAAAAUACUUAACACCAACAAAUCAUCCAACGCGUUAUGAUACAGGCCAGCACUCUUAUUUUCAUUACUUGAUUAAAAACAGUCAUCUUCUCCGGCCCAGAACCAGGCGUCAUCAGAGGCUCAACCCCGUCAGCCUUGAAAACUGGCAGCUGGAUCCAGAGGCCUGAUCAGACCUUGGCUGAACCCUUUUGGCAAAACCAAAGAAAGAAAGAAAGAAAGAAAGAAAGAAAGGAAGGAAGGAAGGAAGAAAGGAAAAAAAAUCAAAUAAACAUUCCUGAAUCCUGAGGCAAGAAGGAAAGUCCCCAUCUCACACUGCUUAGACUGCCCCCGCCCCGCCCCACCCCCCAGUAUUCAUUUUUUAAGUUAUUUAAACGAGGGCAGCCACCUCUUUGCCAGAACAUUACCAAACCAAAAGAAACUAGAAAAUCACCACAGCAACACCUCUGGGCCAGAAAGAGGGAC